UCUCUUCCUCUCUUCUCCAAAAUCUGCCGCACCUCCCAAUCUCUCUUCUCGAUUUUCUUCUCCGGCCAGCGCAGUCGGCGAACCACUGGAGGUAGCCGCCUCUCUCUCCAGUCGUCUUUCCCCUUCGCCUUCUCUUCUUCCCCCCGUCUCCUCUUUCUCCUCGUCUGUCCAGCGGCCAGCGAGGACGAGCAGCCAGCAGCCGCCUGGACAACAACAACAAAGACAUUGUUGUUCAGGCCAGUGACCGGCUAACAUCGGCGCCUCCAGCCGGCGAAGCCCCUUCGCCUCUUCUCUUCUCUUUCCGGCGAGGAUGAGCGACAACAACGAGGCAGCAGUAGCCGCCGGCAAACGACACCAACAGUGCUCCGAUAAACAGCCGGUGGGAACCAGCCGAUUAGCGAAACUCUUUGUCCCUCUCCUCCCUUUCUUGGGGAAGUCCGGCAACUGGUGAAGCCACCAGCGAAAGAGCAGUAGCAGCCGGCGACAACCAGCAGCUCUGGACUAGCGAAAAAAGCUCCUGGCAGUGGCUACGAAAUCAACAACAACGAUAAGAUGCUCACUACAAGGUUCCGACCAAGGACCAAAAUGGAAAAAAAGUGACCGGGUGUGUAACAUUGAGUUCUAGUUUGAAGAGUUGCCAGGGAUGGAAUUCCGGACGGGAUUUAGUUCUAUUUACAUUCGUAUUUGUCAUAUUUGUAUAAUUUUUAUUCAGUCAUGUAAUAGUUGUAUUAGCUCUUCUAACUCUCCAUAGAUAUAUAUGAAAUAUUUGUGGGAUCCUCUAAGGGGGAGAGGUUAUAUGUGCUAA